rnacentral:rRNA from 1 species
AACGAACGCUGGCGACAGGCUUAACACAUGCAAGUCGAGCGCCCCGCAAGGGGAGCGGCAGACGGGUGAGUAACGCGUGGGAAUCUACCCAACCCUACGGAAUAACGCAUGGAAACGUGUGCUAAUACCGUAUACGCCCUACGGGGGAAAGAUUUAUCGGGGAUGGAUGAGCCCGCGUUGGAUUAGCUAGUUGGUGGGGUAAAGGCCUACCAAGGCGACGAUCCAUAGCUGGUCUGAGAGGAUGAUCAGCCACACUGGGACUGAGACACGGCCCAAACGCCUACGGGAGGCAGCAGUGGGGAAUCUUGCGCAAUGGGCGAAAGCCUGACGCAGCCAUGCCGCGUGAAUGAUGAAGGUCUUAGGAUUGUAAAAUUCUUUCACCGGGGACGAUAAUAACGGUACCCGGAGAAGAAGCCCCGGCUAACUUCGUGCCAGCCGCCGCAGUAAUAC